rnacentral:lncRNA from 1 species
GACAAUUUGAGGACUUCUACGUUCAUAAGGGGACCUAUCUGCUCAAAACUGACUGGUGAGACAGCCAGAUCAUCACCGGUGAGAGGAGAAGGCAAAGUGAUUUAGAGAAUCACACUGCUCUGAAAAGCACAGAGAACUGGGAAGAACAGCUGCUGCUGUUUUUCAUUUGGAAGUCUUGAUAACCUAGCACCUUCAACAGUUUGGGGAACCUGCUUACUGCUUGGUCACUUUCAGGUGUUUGGCACAGCAGCUACAGUGGUGGUGACAUGGUCCACGAUCCAGACUCUGAACCGCUAAUGAAGCAUAUAAAGUGAAAAAUAAAUGCCAAGCCAUUCCUUCA